CCUACGGGAGUCAGCAGUGGGGAAUAUUGCACAAUGGGGGAAACCCUGAUGCAGCGACGCCGCGUGAGUGAAGAAGUAUUUCGGUAUGUAACGCUCUAUCAGCAGGGAAGAAAAUGACGGUACCUGAUUAAGAAGCCCCGGCUAACUACGUGCCAGCAGCCGCGGUAAUACGUAGGGGGCAAGCGUUAUCCGGAUUUACUGGGUGGAAAGGGAGCUGAGACGGCAGCACAAGUCUGGAGGGAAAUGCCGGGGCUUAACCCCGGAACUGCUUUGGAAACUGUGCAGCUAGAUUGCAGGAGAGGUAAGUGGAAUUCCUAGUGUAGCGGUGAAAUGCGUAGAUAUUAGGAGGAACACCAGUGGCGAAGGCGGCUUACUGGACUGUAACUGACGUUGAGGCUCGAAAGCGUGGGGAGCAAACAGGAUUAGAUACCCUGGUAGUC
rnacentral:rRNA from 1 species